ensembl:lncRNA
AACUGGUCAUUAUGCCAGGAGCCAGGAGAGGGCUGGGCACAGUGACUUUCAGGCAGGACAAAGUGGAAGAGACUUCAUGGUGCAGCCUGUGGCUUGUCACACCAGCCUGCUCCUCCAGACUCCAGUGUGUAUGGCUGUUUUGCUUGAACACAUGUCUGCAUACCACGUGCCUGUGGAGGACAGAAGAGAACAUUGGAUCUCUUAGAACUGGGUUACAGAUGGUUGUAAGCUGCCAUGUAUAUGCUGGGGACUCAACCUGGGUCCUCUGCAAGAGCAGCCAGGGCUCUUAACUGCUGAGCCGUUGCUCCAGCCCUUUCACUUAAUGCUUUCGAGACAGGAUCUCUCAGCAAAACUGGAGAUGGUGGCUCACUAGACUGCUUGGCCAUUAAGCCCCAGAGAUCUCCCAUCUCUGCUUUCCCAGCGCUGGGAUUACAGACACACACCGCUGUGCCUGGCCCAUCCUGUGAGUGCUGGGGACACAAAGGCAGGCCCUCAUAUCUGUGUGGCAAGCGCUGCUAAGCCAUCUCCUUGGCCCUUUAUUUUUUGAGAUGGAAUCUCCAUAGGCCAGGCUGGCCUCAAGCUCACAAUAUAGAAAAAAAAUGACCUUCAACUUCUGAUCCUCCUGCCUCUGCCCCCCAAAUACUGGAAUCAUUGGCAAGAGUCGCCAUGCCUAACUUACUAUCAUUGUUUUGGGAACUGGCACACAAUUUGACAGACAUGCAUCUCUAGUUACUAAGACAUGGGAUGAAGGGCUGUGCCCAUCACUCUAGUGUGGGUCCAGCUCCUGAGACACCUUCACUCUGCCCCAGCCUGGACUGCAUCCCUAACCCUCGGAGUCUCACUCUUCCCUUCUGUAAAAUGGUGGAGCUGGAUGAGGGAGCAGGCAGUCACAGACCCGGCUUCUGUGGCUAUACUCUGUCUCUUUCCUCUGUGGGGCAGAGUGUUCCCAUCACACACACACACACACACACACACACACACACACAGAGGAUGGAAGAGGGUGGAGGGGGGGUCAGCUGUCUGGACCAGGCCCUGAAGUUGAGCUCUGUGUGCCAAUUGAUAACAGCAGGCCCCAUGGAGGCCUCUGGGGGUCUGAUGCCAGGCCAGGCCAGGCCUGGCUUCUAAAUCUGCCAGGUGCUGGAUUGCCCACCCCAUGAACAGCCUGGGGUCAGGAGCUCAUUGUAGCUGCAGCAUUUCCUCAUCAAGACCUCAGUACCUACUGUCUGCAGCUGUGAGUCACGGGCAUGCAGGGUGGCGCAUUCCACUGAAUCAAAUCUACCACAAACCAAGGACCUGACCUCAGCUCUCAAGAUGACAGCAGGCAGGAUGCAGCCUGAGCCGGGGUUUAGCCAGCCAGGCCCUGCCAGUCGCAGAGGAGGGAGCCCCAGGCCUGCUGCCUGCUGAGCUCACAGCAGGAUCAGCGCCCCAGAUCUCUCUCAAAGCCAGGCCGCCACCACUGGCCUCGCGGCUCAUCUCCCGCAGCUCCCUGAGGUCCCGACGAUUAUGCCACUGAACAUUCCGCUUUCAUCUUGUCAACCUCGCAGUAAAUUACAGGCCCGGGGAGGCGUGGGUCUCCUCCUUAAACAAGAUUCAAUUCCACUUAGAUGCCCCCCCUUCUCGCCCCCCACGUGGCUCUCCCCCCACCACCCCUGCCUGCUCAGGAUUUAUAGCCUUUCCUUGCAGGCAGCUGGUAACCAUGGCAGGCUCCUUGGGGAGGCUGCAGGCUGGAGCCUCCGCAGCCCCAGGCUUCAGCUGGGCCACCCGCCUCCUCAGCAGGGAGAGGAAAGGCCAGGAGUGUGGCUUCCAGAAACUUGGGGUUGGGAUAACACAAACACUAGCUAUAGUGAAUAAUUCUGUCCACUUACCCAGUCUUCCCAUCACUACAGCACAGACACCGUCGCUGACCCGCUGCACCAGCCAACGUCCUAUCUCUCCUGUUCACUACUGGCACAGGUGCCACCCUUGUCUGCAGUAUGUUUAUGAACACCUGGGGGUUGGACUGUGAGGUUGGACAGCUGCAGUUGCUGUCCAGGGCUCCAGAACCAGUGAUGGCAGUCUUGGGCCAGGACAGCCACUGUAGAUCUCAGCCACUGCUCACGUUCCUCUAGCGACCAGAGCACUCCCUUGGCAGCGAGAACAUUUUCUCCAAUGAUUAGCACAGCUACCUAAUGAUGGGCCUGGCUCAGCUGCCCCUUGCUGACACUAUUUCAGCAUUCAAGACCCUCUGCCUUCUGCUAAACACUGCCUUGUCCAAUCCAGGUCUUCUCCACUUGGUUCUGGGGGUUUCUUCACCAUCCCCUUACUCUCCCUACCCCCUGCUGUCACCUCCUCCCUUCACUUCAUGACAGGAUAGCAGAAUUGGAAACCUAUCACUGUCUUGCUUUCCUGAUAGAGAGGCCCGGAGUGAGGUGACGGUCGGCUCGGAUCUGCCAACAAAGAGCUUCCGCAAGCCUGCCAUCCUUGGCAUAACACCCUCGCUCUGAGUAUCUCACAUGAAAAGCCGCUGAAUCCUCACACAGCACCCUGAGGCAGCUCCUGCCCCCAUUGCUGUGGAUAUGAAGCACAGAGAGGUCAAAUGACUUCACCAAGACCACACAGUCUGAUGUUUGAGCCACACUUCUACCUGGGGUUCCAUGGUCCAUGCCAGGGAGACACAAGAACAGAUGCCAUUCCAGGGAACAUGCCCUGCCUGUUUUCUCCUGGGGCCUGGUCUGAGUUAAGUGCUCCCUCACCCAGACUGUGCCACCAGGGACUGUCCCCUCCUGUCCACACCCUUGGGGACUUCUGGGAUUAUAAAUUCCUAUUCUACUGCAGCCCCGGACCUCUGGAGGGCAGGACCAGGAUCCAGUCCAUCUCCCAAAUGAAGCUUAACCCAGGCUUCAGUUCAGUCCAGCCUGCUUACAUACAAGUUCCUGUGGACUUCUGAAUGAGGUGACGUUUGAGCAUCGUGGAAAGUUAUGGAGGAACUCAGCAUAGAGAGCCGUGGGAAGGGAAUCAUGGGCAGAGAAAAUAGCUUGUGUAAAGUCUUGGGGAGGAUGUAUCAGCCCAGGGAAAGCUGAGAGGGAGAGAUGGGGCUAGACCCAGCACCUUGGUUUCAUCACAGAACCAGGAACUGCCUCACUGACCUGCAUGUGUCCCAAACAGACAGGCAAAGGGCACAGGGAGGGGGGUUGGUGGAGGGGAGCAGGGGUGCUACCACCAGGUCUCAUGGCUGCAGGUUGGACACUUGGGAGUGCUGGUUGCAAUCCAGUUUGGCCCAGUAGCCCUCCAGACUGUGAGCCAGGUCCCAUCUGGGGUGACAGAUAGACAAUGCCGGUGCCAGGCCUGAGGGGUGUUCCUCCAUUUCCUCUCCUGACAAGCGAUGGAACUGGCAGAUAAGGAUUCUUCUCCCUAAUCUCCCUGCUCAGGCUGGAACCAGAAUGCAAGCCGAGCCUGGCACUCCCUUCAAGGCUUAAUCCUCUCCUUCCUGCCUUUAAAGCUGUGGAUGGCAGUCACGGGUAGCCAUCUCCGGAGGAUGCUGUUGAUGGCAAGCCAACUAACGCACACAUGGGUCUCUGUUGUAAGGACUGCCUGAGAUGCUUGGGUAGCCCCCAAAUCUGCUCAUUGCUAUAGAGAAGGCAGGAGCGGGACUGGUAGGAUCCAUGUGGGAGUCGCAGCUGGGCUACCCUGAGUCCCUAACUUUGCUCCUGCCAACUGUGUGACUUAAGGAAAGUUGCUUCCCCUCUCUGAGCUUCAGUAAAACAGGGAAAAUAAAUCCUCCAAGAUUUUUUCUUUUAAAGCUUGAGUAGAU